UGUACUUCUCGCCUUGUUUACUCAGGAAUGAGGACCGGGAGUUUGCCCCAAGGCUGAAAACGGCAGAAAAUGCAAAUAUCCAGCCUAACCCGGGCCUCAUCCUGAGAGCUGAGCCAACUGUCACAAAUAUCCUCAAGACAGUAGAUGCAGACCAUUCAAAAUCCCCAGAGGGGCUCCUGGGGGUUCUGGGACAUAUGCUGUCAGGGAAGAGCCUGGAUCUGCUCCUGGCUGCAGCCGCCGCCACGGGUAAACUCAAAUCCUUCGCCAGGAAAUUCAUCAAGCUCAAUGAAUUCCCCAAACACAUCAGCGGUGAAGGAUCCAAGCCUGCAUCUGUUCGAGCUCUGCUCUUUGACAUUUCCUUCCUCAUGCUCUGUCAUGUUGUGCAGACGUACGGCUCAGAGGUGAGUUCUGGUGAUCAAUGGAA